UGGGGCUAGUCCUAUCGGUAAAGAUGACGACGACGCUCAAACGUCGAGUUAACGUACCAAAAGUUCAUCCAGUUCAUCCGCCUCAUGGGUGAUUUCCUCCACUUUUUGCUCGGCUCGCGUAGCCCUUGCCUUGGCCAUGAUGAGUUAAAGCUUUAGGCUGAUAACUGUCUCCUCGAGAGCGCGUAGGUAGUCCGUAUCCACCCCUUGAAACAUGCAGAAUUUUGGCGGGACUUCCAACUGGUGAGGUCCACUACACGCCUCCUAUACGCCCUUUUCCUCGCUUGCCUCCUGGUCCAACUCAUCAUAGUCGAAAUCAACCAUCAUGUAUUCGUCCUGUUCCUCUUCAGGUCCAUUGGCGUGCACCUUUCCUUGAUCUACCUCUGGCUCAUCCUUGAUCUUCUCGUGGGCUACUAAGACCUGAUGUAAGUGAAUACCCUGCUGUUCUCCCUCCAUGAAGACUGGGGGAAGGUAUAAACUAUCGUUACUUCUAUGACUCUAUAACUAUGAUAUAGACUAAACAGACGUUCUCUCUUUGGUGAUAAAGGGGUUUGAUUUUAGGUUCCCAGGCUAUCGCGAUCUCAUCAGAACAUGUGUUAGUUAUACCUUGGAGAGAAUGUAGUUGAUCAGGCUACAUCCACUCCUUGAUACCACUAAGAACAGUCCUGAAUUAACCGGGAUACUAGCGUUAUCUUGUUUGGUUCGGCGUUAUGUUCUUAUUCCUAAUGCAAGCAAGGGUGUUUUAUUGUAGUGUUUUACUUGUUUUGUUCAGAGUUGUGUCAGUCCCUCUUUUGGUUUAUAGUUGCAUAUCAAUGUGUGGCUAGAUAUGCUAGUUCAUUAUAAACAAAGCUCUGAUACCAACCUGUCACACCCCCGAACCAGACGGCGGAAACGUCCGAGGGCUGUUAUGACUCAAUUGAAUACCAUCACAGUGAAUAUACAUGAAACAUAACACCAUUCAUCACCAUGCAUUGAAAUAGUACAACUGGUAGUGUUUACAUUUAGUACAUUGUUUCAUAACAUUACAUUCCCAAAAAGUAGAUUGUUCGAUACUAGUUUAACAAACAACAAGACAUCACUGAGUACAUUUUCCCUUCGAUUUACCUGUUACCUGAGAAUACAAGUAUUUUGAAAAACGUCAACAUAUGAAAUGUUGGUGAGUUCAUAAGUAAUGUUUGAAAUAUAAUGUUUUGUAUUGUUUUGAAAACCACCAGAAAAUCCGAUAUUUUUGAAAAGAGUAUCGUGUAAAAAGUGUGAAGAUCCGUAAGUAUGCUUGUUUGUUUCUAUAAAUGUAAAAAAAAUGGUUAGACCUGGUAUGAAUCUUGUAGGUGUAUGAAUUGAAAACCCUAGGAAAACCCAAUGUUUUCCUAAUACUUUGAAUUACGCAUUUUGUAUUUUGUUAUACCGUUGUGACGUGUGUAUUCGAUAAUUCCAGGUGACAUUGGAUUAAUUAUGGAUUGUGAAUUGUUAUAAACACGCAUUAAUGAAAACGACUAGUUUACAACUAUACAAACGAUCCCUUAGGCGUCGUCCGUACUAUUCACUUAAUCCAACCACCCUAACUUCUCAUAGCCCCACAACCGAGGAGAAAAGAGGGUGCGAAGCCCCCGCUAUUUCCAUAAGUCGUUCAAGGCUAUCGUGAAUGCGAAAGGCCCUUGGCCCGACUCACAUUGGUGAAUUCUCGACUUUGCUAGCAGUACCAAAAGACCCUUGGGGCCCAACAGCACAAAAGCCAUUGAAAGUCCUUUUACAUGGAAUUAGGUCAUAUAAGACCCAACAACAUGUAAGCGAGUUUCCUUCGGGCCUAAAGAUCAUGUCAUUGGGCUAGCUAGGCCCAACAAGCACGAUUUGAAACUUUCGGGCCCAAAGAUGGUGUAUCGACGUCUGGUGAAUUCCCGCGUGUGUAUUGACUUCCCGUAAUUUCAGCGUGUGUAUUGUAGUAUCGUCGUGUAUAGAUUUUUGAUUCAUUAUUGAUUCGAGACCGAAUCAAUUCGUUUGGUAACGAUUUUUGGUGUUGAAGGUGUAUUAUGUUUCGUCGGUAGUCGUGGUACUAGUAUUUCAUCAUAACGGAUUUAUUGUUUAAAACAUUAGAAUUUUACUUUUUGCAGCCCCUUUCUUUUGGAUAAAUUUACACUUUUGACCCUUUGUAUAAAAGAAUUUCCAUUUUAGUCCUUAAACCAUUUUUCUUGACACUUUAGUAUCAAAACUUGUUGAAAAGGUAUUUUUCAGCUCAAAUUUAUUUGAAAAACAGUUUUAGUCCCUCAGAAUGAAGUUUUCUCGGCUGAAACCUCUAUUUUCGCAAUUUUUACACUUUUGGCCCAAAAUAGAAAUUUUUUGCAUCUUUGGUCCCUUUUAAAUAUGAAAAGUAUUUUUAACCCUUGAAAUGGACUUGGAGCACUAGUAGUCCCCUGUUUUACAGAAAAGUACAGUUUCAGCCCCUCUAAUUUGAAAAUCUCGCAAUUUGGGCUUUAUUGGGCCGAAAAGUUCAUUUUUGGCCCAUUAUGCUUAAAAAUUCACAUUUUAAUCCUUCAAAAGAGUAAAUUUCCAGAAAAUACAUUUUUGAAACUGUUUUGACUCAUCUCAACCAUCAGAAUUUGCAUUUUGUCAUUUUGGGCCCUUUGAAUUUAUAUUUUCAACAUUUUGAGCCCAAAAAUGGGUUUUUAGCCCAAAAAUGUUCAUAUUAACCAACUUGGUUAUUUUUCUAGAAAUGAUUUGUGUGUAAUAAUAUGAUUUAUACUUGUUUCAUACAACCUAAUGUAAAUCUCGGUUUUAAGGACUUUUUGACUAGAUCCAACACCACAAUCACAUAAGAACAUAUAUAUAAACAUAGAAAUCACACAAGGCAUACAUAUACUCAUAGAUCUACACAUUUGCUUGUAUUCCCCCCCCCAAAACUUAUAAAACCAAAAAAUAGGGGGUAUGAAGCUCACCUUUGGGUGUGGUUUCGGUUUUGGAGAAGAGAUGGAAGAAAAUGAGAUGAUUUUCGGCCUAAGCAACCUUUCCUUGGAAGAUCUCGAAUUUAGAGAGUUUCUAGGAGAGUGAUCAAAAUUUUUUACAUGGAUUAGAAGAAGAUUUUGAUAAAACAAAGUACCAAAAUCAUAGAUCUUAACUUGAUCUUACCUUAAGUGGAGAAUUUGUGGAGAUAUUUUCUUGAAAGCUCCUUAGAUCUCGAAAUUUUUGAAGAAAGAGUGAGGGGAUGUUCUUCAAGACUUAGAGAGAAUGGAGUGAAUUUUUGUGAGUGUGUGUGUGUUGUGUUCGGCCGAGAGCAAGAGGGAGAGAAAGAAGUAGAUCUUGAGGUGACAUGUGCAUGGAAGUAUGAGAUAGGUUGCAUGGAGAACCAACAUGCAAAAAUGAGGUGGCUAUGAAAGUCAACUCUUCCUUCUUCAUGGGCUUGGGCCGAAAUUUGAAGAGAAAAAAAAGAUUUUUGGGCUUUAUUGCCCCUAAGCCCAUACUAGAGUUAGGUUGAAUGAUUGUUGGCCCUAUAAAAUAUAAGUGUGAUUUUUAUACUUUGUUAGGCUAGUUUAGGUCAAUUAUGGUUCAUAAUGGUUCAUAAUAUUUAAUUUAUUUCAUUCUAGGCCCAAUAUGGCCCAAAAUGUUGAAAUAAAUGAAAGUGGGUCCAAUUAGAGCCCAUUUAAGGAUUCUAAGCCCAAGAUAGUCAAAUUGGAAGCUUAUUGGUCCAUUGGGCCCAAUAAGGAAGUCCUAGUCCAAAAUGGACCUAAACAAGAACUUCUAGGGUUUCCCAUUUGCUUGUUGACUAUUUGUAAUGCUUGUAUGGUGUAUUUGAUUGCAAAUUUUGAUGUCAUAAAGUAAGCAUCAUACAUGCUCUUAAGUUUUUGAUUCAAAAUUUUACUUAUGUGUUGUAGUUACAAGGCACAAAAUUUCUAGUUGUGACAUCAUCCCCCCGUUAGAGGGAAUUUCGUCCCGAAAUUCUGUUUGAAAGCUAGAUUUGAGAAUGCUAGAAUAGGUGAGGGUACUUUUGCUUCAUUUGAUCUUCGCGUUCCCACGUGAAUUCUGGCCCACGCUUCGCGUUCCACCGUACUUUCACGAUCGGGAUGCGACUUUGCUUAGUACGCUUCACCUCCCUGUCCAUGAUUUCAACCGGUUCUUCAACGAACAGGAGAUUCUCGUUGAUUUCGAUCUCGUCAAGGGGAAUGACGAGUGUUUCAUCCGAUAGACACUUCUUUAGAUUAGAGACAUGGAACACGGGGUGUACACUGUUUAGCUCUGCGGGUAGUUGCAGUUUAUACGCCACUGGACCUAUUCGGGCGACGAUCUCGAAAGGUCCAAUGUAUCGUGGGUUCAGUUUUCCCCGUUUUCCGAAACGAAUGACUCCUUUCCAAGGUGAGACUUUUAACAGUACUCGAUCCCCGACCUGAAACUCUAAGGGCUUUCGCCGUUUAUCGGCGUAGCUCUUUUGUCGGUCGCGCGAUGCUUGUAAUCGAGCUCUGAUUUGAACUAUCUUUUCUGUGGUUUCACGAAUGAUCUCCGAUCCCGUUAGUGCCUUGUCCGAUGUGAGUGCCUUUGCUAGCUGGGUUUCGCCCACCUCAGCCCAACAUAACGGUGAUCUACACUUACGCCCAUACAGUGCUUCGAAAGGAGCGACCUUGAUGCUCGAAUGGUAACUGUUGUUAUACGAGAAUUCGACUAAAGGUAAGUGGGUAUCCCAAGACUUCCCAAAGUCUAUCACACAUGUGCGAAGCAUGUCUUCGAGCGUUUGAAUGGUUCGUUCGCUUUGACCAUCCGUUUGUGGAUGAUAAGCGGUGCUCAUGUCGAGAUGAGUUCCCAGUGCUUUCUGGAGUGAUUGCCAAAAACGUGAAGUGAACCUACUGUCUCUAUCCGAGAUAAUAGACACUGGUACUCCGUGGAGUCUCACGAUUUCUCGAAUAUAUAAUCGCGUCAGUUUCUCCAUCUUGUAGGAUUCCUUUAUUGGCAGAAAAUGAGCGGAUUUUGUCAGUCGGUCGACUAUUACCCAUAUGGUGUCUAAUUCGUCCGAUGUCUUGGGCAGCUUGGUCACAAAAUCCAUAGAAAUCCCUUCCCAUUUCCACUCCGGAAUCACCGGUUGCUGUAAUAACCCCGAGGGCUUCUAGUACUCUACCUUUACCUUGGCACAAGUAAGGCACUUACCAACAUAGGUGGCAAUUUCUGCCUUCAUGUUAGGCCACCAAUAGUAUUGUUUAACAUCUAAAUACAUCUUGUCCGAACCGGGAUGGCUGGAUUAUCGCGUCUUGUGAGCUUCCUUCAUGACUACCUCCCUAAAUUCUCCGAGUUUAGGGACCCAAAUACGGUUCAUGAAAUAGUAUACUCCGUCCUCUUUUGCCUCUAGAUUCUUCUCCAUUCCGCGUAAUGCUUCGCUUACUCUGUUUUCUGUCUUCAUGGCCUCUGAUUGGGCUACUCCAAUCUUAGUGGUUAAGUGAGAUUGGAUGGUUAUUGAGAGUGUUUUCGCACGACGAUUAGAGUACUCCUUCCGGCUCAAUGCGUCAGCUACCACGUUGGCCUUGCCCGGGUGGUACUUGAUUUCACACUCGUAAUUGUUUAAUAAUUAGACCCAUCUUCUUUGCCUCAUAUUCAGCUCUUUUUGAUUCAAGAUAUGCUGGAGACUUUUGCGGUCCGUGAAGAUGGUGCACUUCGUACCAUAAAGUUAAUGCCUCCAAAUCUUCAGAGCAAAGACCACUGCUCCCAAUUCCAGAUCAUGGGUUGUAUAAUUUACUUCGUGUGUCUUUAGUUGGCGGGAUGCAUAAGCUAUCACUCUUCCACGCUGCAUGAGAACGCAACCUAAGCCUUGAUUCGACGCGUCACAGUAGACCACGAAAUCUUCCGUUCCCUCCGGUAGAGAUAGUACCGGGGCACUACAGAGGGCUUGCUUCAGGGUUCGGAAUGCAACCUCUUGCUUGUCCGUCCAUUUGAAUGAUACGCCCUUUUGCGUAAGUGAGGUAAGUGGCUUGGCGAUCUUAGAGAAGUUUUGAAUAAACCUCCUAUAGUAGCCUGCUAGACCUAAGAAUUGACGAAUUUCCGUGGGUGUUGUCGGGACGGCCCAUCCUUCGACGGCUUUGACCUUGGAAGGAUCCACAUGAAUUCCUUCUUGACUAACAACAUGACCUAGGAAGUUCACACUACGGAGCCAGAACUCACACUUGGAGAGUUUUGCGUAUAGCUUUUCCGAUCGCAGAGUUUCUAGAAUUUGUCGGAGAUGUUGACCAUGCUCUUCCUCGCUUCGGGAAUAGACGAGAAUGUCAUCAAUGAAGACAAUGACAAAGUUGUCGAGGAAUGGUCGACAGAUUCGGUUCAUCAGAUCCAUAAAUGCGGCAGGAGCAUUUGUUAGACCGAAGGGCAUUACGACAAAUUCAUAAUGUCCGUAACGAGUUCGGAAAGCGGUUUUAGGAAUAUCCUCUUCCCGGACUUUGAGUUGAUGGUAUCCGGACCGUAGAUCUAUCUUAGAAAAGUAACUAGCUCCUUGGAGCUGGUCAAAUAGAUCGUCGAUUUGUGGGAGUGGAUAGCGAUUUUUGACAGUGAGUUUAUUUAACUCUCUGUAAUCGAUGCACAUCCUAAAAGAUCCGUCCUUCUUUUUGACAAACAGGACCGGAGCUCCCCAUGGCGAGUAACUAGGUCGGAUGAAUCCCUUGUCCAGGAGUUCGCUGAGUUGACUGGACAAUUCCUGCAUCUCAGCAGGAGCUAGCCGAUAGGGCGAUUUAGCGAGAGGGGUUGCUCCUGGAACGAGGUCAAUUCGGAAUUCAACUUGCCUUUCUGGGGGUACUCCAGGAAGAUCUUCAGGAAAUACGUCUGGAAAUUCACGUGCUACUGGAAUAUCUUGAAUGUUAGUCUCUUCCUUGGUUUUAUCCACUACGUGAGCCAAGAAUGUCAAAUCUUUCUUUCGUAGAUGCUUUUGUGCCUGGAUGCACGAGAUGAGGCGAAGGUUCAUGCUAGGUUUGUCUCCGUAAAUAACUAGCGUUUCGUGACUAGGAAGGCGAAGACGAACAGCCUUCUCGUGACACAUGAUUUCAGCAUGGUAGAGGCUUAACCAGUCCAUGCCAAUAAUCACAUCGAAACUCCUAAUGGACACAGGCAUUAAGUUUAUUCGAAAGACGUGUUGGUUCAGGGUUAGGGUACAUCCAAUGUAGAUUUCCCCCGUGGAUUCUGUUUUCCCAUUGGCCAUUUCCACCGUAAAGGUUUCAUUGAGCUUCUGGGGUUGUUGAUUUAAUAAAUGCUUAAACUUAUUGCUUACGAAACUUCGCUCCGCUCCGGUGUCAAAUAGGAUGCAUGCAUAAGUGUGGUUUAGGGGAAACGUACCGGUAACGACUGCGGGAUCCUGAAUUGCUUCCCCCUGACCCAUGGCCAGCACCCUUCUCGUUCCUCCAUUUCCAGGAUUGUUGUUGUUAGGGCAAUCGCGACGAAAAUGCCCAGUCCUUCCACAUCUGUAGCAGGCGUGGCUGGGUCCUACAUUGUUGCCGCCAUUGUUGGUGUUGUUGUUGCUUCCUUGUUGAUUCCGAGAGGGAUAGGCUCUGCAAUAUUCUGCUGUAUGACCAUUUCUAUUGCAAUUGAUACAAUGCAUCUCCCUGCAUUCGCCAUGAUGUUGGAAACUGCAUUUGUUGCAUCUUGGAAGACUUCCAGCAUAUGUUCUCCCUUGUGCUGGUGUAGUAACUAUCAUGGGAGCAUCGACAACAAUAACAUGUUGUUUCUUCAAGGAUCCUUGAGUUGGCUGUCCUUUCCUCUUAUUCCCCGACGCUCGCUUACUGCUCUUACGCUUGGGGUUCAGAGUGUCUUGAUCUACGACCACUUGUUGGUUUCUGUGGUUAUUACUCCGACUGGUGUUAUCGACGUUAUUUCCUCCUCUUUUGGUGUUGUUGGCGUUGAGUUGUGCCAUAGCAACAGUUACUGCAGCGGUGAAAACAACUUGGAAUGUAGUAAGGUCCACUUGCAAGAGUGGUGCUUCACGGGUGUGCUCGUUAUUUCUAUGGAACGACAUCUUCUACUGCAUGUUGAUAAGCGGGACCGUGAGUAACGACGACUAUUUCUGGUGGUGCUCUGUAAUUUUUCGCGUUUUGUCGUAUGGUUCACAAUGUUUCGAUCUAUAUCCUUAUGGUGUGUUUAUGUUCGUUUGAGCACAUAAGCGAAUCCUCAUAUUAAAACACAUAGCAUUUCUACUAGAAAUAGCCAUUUUUCUUUUAUGCAGGAAAAUUUGCCUAAAUUACAAACAUUCCGUAAGAAAACGUAUGAUCCGGCAGUAUUACGACAUAACAUCCAUAGAAACAUAAUACUAGUAGGAAGUACGGUUGGUUCUACAUAUUGUAGAAUAUAUAAUAGCAAGUAGUGGGGCUAAUCCUAUCGGUAAAGAUGACGACGACGCUCAAACGUCGAGUUAACGUACCAAAAGUUCAUCCAGUUCAUCCGCCUCAUGGGUGAUUUCCUCCACUUUUUGCUCGGCUCGCGUAGCCCUUGCCUUGGCCAUGAUGAGUUAAAGCUUUAGGCUGAUAACUGUCUCCUCGAGAGCGCGUAGGUAGUCCGUAUCCACCCCUUGAAACAUGCAGAAUUUUGGCGGGACUUCCAANUGAGGUCCACUACACGCCUCCUCUACGCCCUUUUCCUCGCUUGCCUCCUGGUCCAACUCAUCAUAGUCGAUAUCAACCAUCACGUAUUCGUCCUGCUCCUCUUCAGGUCCAUUGGCGUGCACCUUUCCUUGAUCUACCUCUGGCUCAUCCUUGAUCUUCUCGUGGGCUACUAAGACCUGAUGUAAGUGAAUACCCUGCUGUUCUCCCUCCAUGAAGACUGGGGGAAGGUAUAAACUAUCGUUACUUCUAUGACUCUAUAACUAUGAUAUAGACUAAACAGACGUUCUCUCUUUGGUGAUAAAGGGGUUUGAUUUUAGGUUCCCAGGCUAUCGCGAUCUCAUCAGAACAUGUGUUAGUUAUACCUUGGAGAGAAUGUAGUUGAUCAGGCUACAUCCACUCCUUGAUACCACUAAGAACAGUCCUGAAUUAACCGGGAUACUAGCGUUAUCUUGUUUGGUUCGGCGUUAUGUUCUUAUUCCUAAUGCAAGCAAGGGUGUUUUAUUGUUAUGUUUUACUUGUUUUGUUCAGAGUUGUGUUAGUCCCUCUUUUGGUUUAUAGUUGCAUAUCAAUGUGUGGCUAGAUAUGCUAGUUCACUAUAAACAGAGCUCUGAUACCAACCUGUCACACCCCCGAACCAGACGGCGGAAACGUCCGAGGGCUGUUGUGACUCAAUUGAAUACCAUCACAGUGAAUAUACAUGAAACAUAACAUCAUUCAUCACCAUGCAUUGAAAUAGUACAACUGGUAGUGUUUACAUUUAGUACAUUGUUUCAUAACAUUACAUUCCCAAAAAGUAGAUUGUUCGAUACUAGUUAAACAAACAACAAGACAUCACUGAGUACAUUUUUCCCUUCGAUUUACCUGUUACCUGAGAAUACAAGUAUUUUGAAAAACGUCAACAUAUGAAAUGUUGGUGAGUUCAUAAGUAAUGUUUGAAAUAUAAUGUUUUGUAUUGUUUUGAAAACCACCAGAAAAUCCGAUAUUUUCUGAAAAGAGUAUCGUGUAAAAAGUGUGAAGAUCCGUAAGUAUGCUUGUUUGUUUCUAUAAAUGUAAAAAAAAUUGUUAGACUUGGUAUGCAUCUUGUAGGUGUAUGAAUUGAAAACCCUAGGAAAACCCGAUGUUUUCCUAAUACUUUGAAUUACGCGUUUUAUAUUUUGUUAUACCGUUGUGACGUGUGUAUUCGAUAAUUCCAGGUGACAUUGGAUUAAUUAUGGAUUGUGAAUUGUUAUAAACACGCAUUAAUGAAAACGACUAGUUUACAACUAUACAAACGAUCCCUUAGGCGUCGUCCGUACUAUUCACUUAAUCCAACCACCCUAACUUCUCAUAGCCCCACAACCGAGGAGAAAAGAGGGUGCGAAGCCCCCGCUAUUUCCAUAAGUCGUUCAAGGCUAUCGUGAAUGCGAAAGGCCCUUGGCCCGACUCGCAUUGGUGAAUUCUCGACUUUGCUAGCAGUACCAAAAGACCCUUGGGGCCCAACAGCACAAAAGCCAUUGAAAGUCCUUUUACAUGGAAUUAGGUCAUAUAAGACCCAACAACAUGUAAGCGAGUUUCCUUCGGGCCUAAAGAUCAUGUCAUUGGGCUAGCUAGGCCCAACAAGCACGAUUUGAAACUUUCGGGCCCAAAGAUGGUGUAUCGACGUCUGGUGAAUUCCCGCGUGUGUAUUGACUUCCCGUAAUUUCAGCGUGUGUAUUGUAGUAUCGUCGUGUAUAGAUUUUUGAUUCAUUAUUGAUUCGAGACCGAAUCAAUUCGUUUGGUAACGAUUUUUGGUGUUGAAGGUGUAUUAUGUUUCGUCAGUAGUCGUGGUACUAGUAUUUCAUCAUAACGGAUUUAUUGUUUAAAACAUUAGAAUUUUACUUUUUGCAGCCCCUUUCUUUUGGAUAAAUUUACACUUUUGACCCUUUGUAUAAAAGAAUUUCCAUUUUAGUCCUUAAACCAUUUUUCUUGACACUUUAGUAUCAAAACUUGUUGAAAAGGUAUUUUUCAGCUCAAAUUUAUUUGAAAAACAGUUUUAGUCCCUCAGAAUGAAGUUUUCUCGGCUGAAACCUCUAUUUUCGCAAUUUUUACACUUUUGGCCCAAAAUAGAAAUUUUUUGCAUCUUUGGUCCCUUUUAAAUAUGAAAAGUAUUUUUAACCCCUGAAAUGGACUUGGAGCACUAGUAGUCCCCUGUUUUACAGAAAAGUACAGUUUCAGCCCCUCUAAUUUGAAAAUCUCGCAAUUUGGGCUUUAUUGGGCCGAAAAGUUCAUUUUUGGCCCAUUAUGCUUAAAAAUUCACAUUUUAAUCCUUCAAAAGAGUAAAUUUCCAGAAAAUACAUUUUUGAAACUGUUUUGACUCAUCUCAUCCCUCAGAAUUUGUAUUUUGACAUUUUGGGCCCUUUAGUUUCAUAUUUUUAGCAUUUUGAGUCCAAAAAUGGGUUUUAAGCCCAAAGAUGUUCAUAUUAACCAACUUGGUUAUUUUUCUAGAAAUGAUUUGUGUGAAAUAACAUAAUUUAUACUUAUUUCAUACAACUUAAUGUAGAUCUCGGUUUUAAGGUCUUUUUGACUAGAUCCAACACCACAAUCACAUAAGAACAUAUAUACAAGCAUAGAAAUCACACAAAGCAUACAUAUACUCAUAGAUCUACACAUUUGCUUGUAUCCCCCCCCCCCACAAAACUUAUAAAAACCAAAAAAUAGGGGGUAUGAAGCUCACCUUGUGGUUUGGAUUUGGUUUUGAUGAAGAUUUGAGAGGAUAUUUCGGCCCUAGCAACUUCUUGAGGAAGUUUUCGAACUUAGAUGGUUCUAGGGAGUUAGACCAUAAAUUUGCAUGAGUUAAGAUGAGAUGUUUGAUAAAACAAGGAACCUAGAUCAUAGAUUUAAGUAUAAACUUACCUUGGAUGAUGAUUUUUGUGGAAAAAUCUCUUUGAAAAGCUCUUAAGUCUCGAAAAUUUGAUGAAGGAAGGUGAGGAUGUUCUUUGAGAGAGUUGGUUUAAAAAAAUUGGAUGAAGUGUGUAUGUUUGGGAGGCUCUCGGCCAAAUGAAAAGAGAGAGGGGGAAGAGAUGAGCUUGCCUUGAUACAUGAAACUAUGCAUGGAUACAUGGGAGAUAAUACUUAGAGAUAUGUUGGAUAUUAAUGAGGUGUCAACUUAAAAGUCAACUCUCUUAAUUUCAUUCUCUCUUUCCUUUUUCUUUUUUGUUUAUCCCACUUGGGCCGAGAAUUAGAGAAAGAGAAGUGAGUUUUGGGCCUUAAAGGCUUAAUCCUAAUUACUUGAUUAUGUUGAGUGAUUUUUGGUCCUAACAAAUAUAAGUGUGAUUUUUAUGACCUAUUAGGGCUAAAUUAGGCUAGUUAUGGCCUAAAAUGGUUCAUAUAAUUGAUUUAUUUCAUUCUAGGCCCAAUAUGGCCCAAAAUGUUGAGAUAAAUGGAAGUGGGUCCAACUAGAGCCCAUUUAAAGGUUCUAAGCCCAAGAUGGUCAAAUUGGAAGCUUAUUGGUCCAUUGGGCCCAAUAAGGAAGUCCUAGUCCAAAAUGGACCUAAACAAGAACUUCUAAGGUUUCCCAUUUGCUUGUUGACCAUUUGUAAAUGCUUGUAUGGUGUAUUUGAUUGAAAUUUUUGUUGUCAUAGAACAAGCAUCAUUCAUGCUCUUAUGUUUUUUAUUCAAAAUUUUACUUAUGUGUUGUAGUUACAAGGCACAAAAUUUCUAGUUGUGACAGUUUUACAAAAACUUCCCAAUCUUAGUUACUUUCGGCAAAAGUGAAUUGAUGCAAUUCCAUGAAAUUACACUUUUUACCCUUGCUAAGACGUUAGUGGAGCGUGUGUGGUUAACCGGCACACUAAAUGGGUUCUAUGCAAAGGUAGCAAAGCGUGACUCGAUGUUUGUCAUAGUUCGGUGGAGCAUGUGUGGUUAAACGGCACAUGGAAUAGAUGACUGUAACAUUGGGGGCACCAUGUAAGUUUGCAUGGUUAUUCACACCCUGUUUUGUGAUCCUCAGCAUCCCAGUCACAAAUGGAGGGGCAUAUCGAGAUUUACACAUGACGUUGAAAGGUUCAAUGAAUCUCAAAGGAUCUAGGAGUUUUCAAUACAUUUAAAACUUAAUCUCUUUUUUGUUUUUCAUGGUGGAAAAUUAGUGAAUCGUCAUUCACUUACCUUCAAAUGUUCUGCAAUUUGGGUUACGGCAUCCAUCUGCCAAGUUGUAUAGUAUUGUGUUGGGUCUUAGCCUUAAUAUCUCAUUUGGGUGUUUUAUUAAGGACUCAAUCAAUCAACUAACUUGAAUUUUUCUCCCGUUUUGUAGAUGUCAAAGUAUGACAACUAUGAUCUUCCCAAAUCCCGUGGAACAAGCUUUCCACAUGAAGAUGAUAUUCCACGAUUCGAUCGAGGAACACGAGAUCACGCUUCACCUCCUCCACCUCCUCCUAUUGUUCUCCCUAACCCACAAGUUCAAAGGCUUGAAAAGUUCAAGCUCACUCAAGCCCUUUUGGAAAGUAAACAUGAAGAAGGAAAGUCAGUGUGUGCAUACGUUUGAAAGAUGAAGUCACACAUUGAUAGGUUAAGAAUGUUGGGAGUCGUUGUCUGUGAGGAACUGGCUGUUGACUGGGUUCUUCAGUCGUUUCCUGACUUAUAUAGUGAGUUCGUAAGAGAGUACUAUAUGAUAGACCACGACGUGACCCUCAUCGAUCUCACCUAUUUACUUAUUGUUGUUGAAUAAGCGAUGAUUUGGUGCACUGGAAAAGCAAAGUUGCUUGGUGGAUCUGCCUUCCAGACCUCUAUGGAUAUAGGCAAUGGCAACGAAAGGCAUGCCAUGGUCGAAAAGUUUGAUCAUAAGAGAAAGGUAAAGUCUGAAGUAGUUCCGUGUGUUGUUCCAAAAUAGUCAAUUUGCUUUUAUUGCCAAGAGAAGGGGCAUUGGAGACAAAGCUGCCCAGUCUACCUGAAAGUUCUAAGAGAUGGGAGUGUCAAGAUGUUUGGCUCUACUUCAGGUAAAAUCCACUAUCUAACUCCAUUAAGUUCCUAUUCAUUGAUUCUUAAUACAUAAUGUGAUAAGAUUACAUUUGAAUGUUUUGCAGGAUCAGAGAAAAGAGAGGAAGCUUGAUGGAAGAGCAAGAUGAGUCUGAUCACGAAGAAAUGGAUCACGAUCGCAUGGAUUCGAAGAUCAGAUUUUGAGCUUAGAAAGUUAUGAUAGAUUUGUUAAGAAUAUUUGAUUACAUAGUUUUUCAGUUGAUUUUGCAUUGUAAGGACAUGUUUUCCGCUGCUUUUAUUAAUAAAAUAAAUUUUUUGAUUUGUCUUAUUUAUAUAUAUCCUUGCAAUGAAAUCGUUAUGAAAAUUAACGUUUGUGUAUUUCUAUAAGUGGGUGUGAUUCUUAGUUAUGUUAUUUGUGGUAGUGUCAAAAUUUUCUACGUACGGAAAGAUUCCGAUCACCCAAGUUUCAAUUGGACAGAAACUUGGAAUCAUACAACUUGUAUUGUGUGAUGUAUGGAAAUCUUGGUACUUAGGAAAUUAAGACUAAUUCCUUGAUCACACAAAUAACAAUGUUGUGUAAAGGACUAGAAUACAAUGUUGUGCACUAGUCAAGUCCACCACAAAUAACAAUAAGACUAUUCAUCAUAAUUUACUAAAAGUCUAGUAAAUGUGGUUAUACUUACAAGAUUAAGUGUAAUUCUGAAUCAUUGAAAGGUUUCAAUGAAUGACAGAACGAAUAAGAAGAAUCAAUUAGGCAGAAAGAUAAAAGUUUCUCCAAUCUAAGAAGAAGGGAGAGUACUUUUGUAUCGGGUUCUAUGAUCAUCUUAAUGAUUAAGAACCAUAUCACAAUUGAUCCUCUAAGGACAUCUUAGUGCACUAGUAUGGCUAAGAAGAGGAAUCGGAAAUUGUUGAAAUGGUUAAAUCAAAAGGAUGAGUCAUACUUCGUUCCAAAAUCAAGUCUUAGAAUCGUACUCCAAGAUUGUGAAUUGAGUGACACACACUCAUCAAAUGUGAAGUAGAAAAUUGUUUUUCUUACUCUUGCACGUUUGAAAUUGGUAAUUGUGAUGUCUUGAAUAAGACAAAGACCAACUAAUACCAAUUAUGUGUAGUGUUUGUCUUGAUAACAAUCCGCACUAAUUCUUGAAUAUUUGUUUGUCAAGAACUGUUUUCUUGACAAGAGAAUCUUAUAUGUCAAGAGGUCAGUGGGAGUCUAAAUGAUCUUGAAAAGUUUCAAGAACUAAUCAAGAGUAAACCUAUUAUUAAACACUAGCACACGACUUGAGGAUUGUAACCUAUCGUGUUGACAAAAUUCUGUUUCUGUGUCAAUCCAGUUGAGUGAUUAUGCAUAUGAGUUCUACGAGUUCUCAAUGGACUGCGUAAGGCAAGAACCUUGUUCAAUGAAAGUACAUUGAUUGGCAUGGGUGAGCUACUAGAUAACUUGGAAACAAUGGUGGGACCCUUGAUGGCAAGAAAUUAAGAAUGAACAAGUCCUGUCCAUAAGAGUUUGAAUUUGUCACAAACAUUAUCGUUCGAUUAUGGUUAUGGCAAAUUCACAUGGAUAGGAACACAUACACCAUAAAAUCUAAGUGUCAUAAGGUUUCUCUCCUUCAUGAAAAUGAUUGUGAGGAAACGCUUUCACUAAGAGAGAUUUUAAGGAGAUAGCGAUUAUGUAAAUUGCAUUCUCAAAUUCGAUUAUGAUUACGACAUCCCUCUUCAUAGUUCGAAUUGUGAGAUUUGGCAAUUAGUCUGAACAUUUGGGACUUGGUAAUAUAAGUUCUGAAUUAGUUUAGAAACACAUGUGAGUUAUCUAAGGAAAGGUGUGUGAGUUUCAGAAGCUUAAAUAAAAAGCUUAUCGAAGCACAUCGUAUUGGAAAUAUGAACUUUGGAAGUCAAUAAGAAUUGUCUUUUAAAAGUCCAACUAUUUUUUGAAUACGUGUCAAAGCUAAUGGGAGUAUAAAUGUUAUGCUGGAACAGAUAUAAUCAUCAUGUUAGUGGGAGCAUGAUUAUUAUUUAAGUAUUGCAAGUUGGAAAUAUUAAUUACAGAAAAACAAAAGGUUUCACUUUGCAAAGUUGCAGGGGUUGAAAAGUUAUUUUUGCUAUAAUUAAGGGAGAGAAUGUUAUACUACGUUUCCAAUCUAAAAGCUUAGAUCGAUAAAUUUUAAUUGAAUUUAGUCAAGGAUAUAUUUAUUAUUUGCAUUCUCAAAGUUCGAUUAUGAUUAUGGCAUCCCUCUUCAUAGUUCGAAUUUUGAGAACACGACAAAUAGAAAUAUUAUGGAAAUAUUCGACCGUUCUAAAAUUUUCCAAAUGCCUAGGGCAUUUAGAGAAAAAAAGGGAAUAUAACUGGAUUUGACUAAAAUAAUUAAGCGACUGUUAAGGACAACCUAAGGUUCGCUAAGGAUUGGUCGCUUGAGGACAGUUGGAAGUAUAGUCAUGGAUGGACCAAAUUGACAUUAUUAUGAAUAGAUAAGAUUCUAUUUAGAAUAAGUUGUCAUAUGGAAAAUAUGGAAAUGUUUCCAUAUUAGGAGUUGGAUAUCGAGAAUCAAUGUCUAGAUUAGAAACUUUUAUGCAAGAAGGAUGUUCAUAGGAAUGUAUCUUAAAUGUGAGACUUCAUGACUAUGGAAUUGUCUUGUAACAAUCUCCAAUAGAGUACUUUGUAAUUUCAUUGGCAAAGUCUUGGUGACUUUGGCGCUGUGAUAUUACGAAAUGACCGUUGCAUAAAAUGUUAGAAUCUAACAUAUUCUAGUAGUGGCGAGAAUUUUGUAUUCUUACACUAAUGGAUUAGGAAUUAUGAAAUGAGCAUCAUUGGAAAUGUGUUCAUAUGAUCUAUUUCACAAAGUAAGGACCAUAGGUAAACAUAGUGUGCAUGCUAAGAGCAUGGGACAAUUGUUGUUAUAAUUCAAGUAAGAAGUUGGUUACCCGAAACAACAAAUAAUGAGUAAUCAAUGUGGUGAAUAAACAAAAUGUUUUAUUUAUACUCAAAGGUUUGGGACCAUAUAGGAUUAGUAUUAUUCUUGUGUUUCACUUUGCAUGUUUUGACUUCCCGAAUAAUAAGAUUAUUCAAACCCUCCACAGUCGCUCAUUCUUUGGAAGUAGGAAUGAAAGAAGAAUGUCAUGAAUCUAACUGUAGAUUGUCUAAAGUGUUUUAGACAUAGCAAAAGUUUGUUGCAGGGUUUGUGAGUGCUGCUAUAAGAUUAGAGUAUUGGAUUAAACCCAUGCUCACUUAGAUCGUUUCAUGGAUUUUAUCUCGAGUGAUUGGUGAGAUGAUAAUAUCUUAUAUUAUUGAAACCGAGAUGUGUGAGUUGUAUCUUGCGAGUCGGUUACACAUUGAUAAUAUGUAAACGCACCAGCAACUUGGUGUUAUAAAACGUGUUGUUGUGUGUGAUUCGAUGAGUGAGUACAAGCAAGCAUUGAGUCGAAGUUUAUCCGUUCCUUUUGCCCAAAGUUGGAUAAAAAGCGAUAUCUGUGGGCCCCUCGAUGAUUUGGUAAUGACACCUAAGCGCUUGGCCAAGCCGGGACUAAUUUGAUGUGUUCAAUUGUAGUCUGUUGUUAGUUGUCAUAAAUCGGAAAUCGGGAAACAACACAUGAACAGAGAGUAUAAUUAAAAUCCAUGUCUCAGUUCAUACGAUAUCUAGAAUGGAGGAAUAUAUGAUCCCUUAUCUAAAGGACGCGUAUCUGAUAAGAUCAGAGUUGACAACGGCUUUUGAAAGCUACGAUUGCUAAUUAGAUUUGAAGUUAUACGCAGAAUAGUUAUUAGACUUAUCCAAGUGGGAGACUAUUGGAUUAGUGUCUAAGUCCAUAACUAUUUUGGUAUGUACUUGACCCGAUUGUAAGCAUGGUCUUUUUGGGUUACCUUCACUAAAGCAACUUGAUAGGAUGAUUUGUGGAGAAACAGAUUAAUUAUAAUUUAUUAGUAUAUUAUGUGAAUAAUAUAUUAUAAGAGAAAUCAUAUUGUUUAAUUAAUAUUAGUAAAGAAUUAAUAAAAUUAAUUUUGUGGCUAAAAGACAUUAAUUAAAUAAAGGGGACUAGAACUGUCAAUUGUGUGAUAAUUGGAUAUUGGGCUAAUGGACUCCAUAAAGGAUGGAGUGGACGAAAUAUAUGGGUAAACCCAUGAGAAUUCGUCCAAGGCCUUUAAGAGGGACUCCAUUGGCUGCUUAGAGCCUAAGCAGCCAGAUUAGGGUUUCCUAGUUCAAAAACCCUAAUGGCCUCACUAUAUAAGGACUCCUAGGGCACCCAAAAACAUGGCUAAGUGUUCCUUAGGGUUUCUUGGACGUUUUGGUGCCUCCUUCUCUUCACCUAAGUCAUCCUCUUGCUCUUGGUGUUUGUGAGCCAUUAAAGGUGUGACAUUUGUGACACUAAGCUUUCAAAAGCAAAUUACAAGGAGGAUUUGAGAUUGUUAUUGCUACAUAACAAUCAAGGUAAGAUCUAAACCCUAUUCUUAUGUUAAUAUCGAUUAUCACAUGAUAGAUCUAGGGUUUAAAGUCUUGGAUGAAUGCAUAUACAAUAUAGAAACCUAGAUCUAAGCAUUAGGGUUUACAUGAGCAUAUAGGAUGUUCUUAUGACCAAAACCCAUCAGAAACACGGUGUGUUACCGAGCCCAACACAUCGUGUUGGGUUGCCUGGUGUCACGAUCUGAUGCCAAGGCGUGGGGAGGAAGUUGUGGCUGAGAUGGUGCCACGUGUCACCUCUGGAACUUAACCCCAAAAUUAAUUAUCUUCUAAAUUUCGUAACUUUCGAAUACGAGCUCCGUUUUUUACGUUCUUUAUAUCCACACAUAGGUAGCGAUGUCAUAUACAACUUUUGUUUAGACUCUAUUGGCUAAUUUUGACUAUAUUUUUUAAGUUAUAUUUUAACAGGCGUAGAGAGUUAAUGUCCAUUAAAAAUUCAUAAUUUUGUCAUCCGACGUCCGUUUUUACUGUCUUUAUAUCAUUGAGCUCCUAUUAAUGAAAUCUUCAACUCUCAUUUAGGUUGUGUCGCCUAAAAAUCGAUCGAUCUAAAAUUGAUUUCCGGGCUAUGCACUGCUAGGCUAAAUCUUAGAAAAAUCAUAACUUCCUCAAACGAAGUCAGAUUUGGACGUUCUUUUAUGUACGUUCUCGGUUUAAUGUAUACUAUGAAUUUUGUUUAGGUCGCUAAGGCUAAAAAGUAUUCGUCAAAAAUUCACUUUUUACGUUACGCGGAGUCGUGCUGGUUUUGUCGCAAAACUUCGACGAGUCAUAACUUCUUCGUUUUAAUUCGGAUUUCAAUGUUCUUUAUAUAUACAGAAUCCUUGUGACAUAUACUAUAAUUUUGGUUAAGAUUAUUUAUGCUAAAUAAUCUUCUAUAAAAAAAACUCAUUUUUAACGCUUAUUAUCUCUAAAUUGACUAACCCGAAUCUGUGGGCGUUACAGCUAACAACGAAGAUUCAAGUUACGUAAGUAAAUAAGGGCAACAAUGUACUUUAAAGAUACCACGAUAUGGAUAGAGUCUAGAGACGAUGUGGAAAAGUAAAUUACUCUUUAUUAUUAGUGACAGAUCAAAUAUUAUUGCAUGAGAAUAGUGUCAUAAGAGAUCCUCCACGACGUGGCCGGUAAAAUGCCAUGAUGUGGCGACGAAACGAACUUAGAAAAGUACGAUCUGUAAACAGAUCAAUCCAAUUAAACACUUCCAUAACACACUCUAAGGUGUAGUUUUCACACACUGAAGCUCUAGAGGUUCGAUUUUAAGGAGAUAAAGAGAUUCAAGCUUCAAUUUUGGUGGAUCAAGGUAAAUAUUGCUACUCUUAAUACAUUGAUUUUGGAUUUAGGGCAAGAUUCUGAAGUUAUUGGUGAAACCCUAGAUGAAGGGUAUGAUUUUAUAUCAUGAAAUUGAAUUAGAGGUUGAUGUCAUAUAGCUUAAUUAUAGACUAUUCUAAUGAUUAUGAACCUUGUAUGUGAAAUUCGAAGAUUGAUAUGAGAAACCAAGUUCAUAGGAUUUAGGGUUCAUAUGCGAAAAGUGUGACCGAAGGAAUGUCCUUAAGUGAUAAAAUAUGAUAUAUGUAACACCAUCCGUUAUACCCGCCACUAACCACUAUAGUGGUGGGGGCCACAUCAUCACCACUAACCUUCACUAAACAUAUGAGAUACCUACCACUAAAUACACUACUCCACCUCAUUUUUUUAAUUAAAUUUAAAUAAAAAAUACAUAAAAAUCAUAUAAUUUUUUUAAAUACUAGUUUUUUAUUAGUUUAAAAUACCAAAUUACAUUAAAUAAAACUACAUUAAUUAAAUAAAAAAUAAACAAAACCACAUCAUCACCACUAACCUUCACUAAACAUAUGAGAUACCUACCACUAAAUACACUACUCCACCUCAUUUUUUUAAUUAAAUUUAAAUAAAAAAUACAUAAAAAUCAUAUAAUUUUUUUAAAUACUAGUUUUUUAUUAGUUUAAAAUACCAAAUUACAUUAAAUAAAACUACAUUAAUUAAAUAAAAAAUAAACAAAACAUUAAAAAUAAAAUUACAUUAAUUGAAAUAAAAAAAAUUAAAAAUUAAUAAUAUUAAAAAUUAAAAACCUAAAAAUACCGAACUUAUGAUUUGUGUUUUAAGCAAGGUUAUUCCAUUUUGAAGAAUUCUUCAACUUUUGUCAAGCUUUGACAUAUCCAAAAUGUUUAUUAUUUUUGUUUUCAUAUUGCUCCAUGGCCACAUUAUCCGGAUCGAUAUCGGCUUCGUGUACGUUGUUUAUAACAAAGUUGUAAAUUCCAUUGACCUCACAACAGUUGACCCUCAUAUCGCGCCACUUCGAGCAUAUUUCAUCAACAUUUCGAAUUGCACAACUCAUUAAACCAUGAAAACACUUUCAACAUUUCUCUAAAACAGACGUUUGACCAGCGCCUUCUUCCGAAACCGUCACCCAUGCUUGUGCUAAUUUCUCUUCUUCCUCUUUUGACCAUUUCUUGUUUUUGGGAGGCAUGGUUUUUGAAAGAACAAACAACAAAAAUGUAUGAAUAUGACUAAAGGGAGAAGAAAUGUGUGAAAAUUAAGAAGAUGGGUGGUAAUAUUUAUAGGUGAAUAUUGGAGAGAAAAAAUAAAAGAAAGUAGUUAUUGUAAGAGGUCAAACAAGAUUUAAAGAAGGAAAUGAAUUGAUUGGGCGUUGCAGUUCGUUGUUGGGAGUAUGAAGGUCCACGAUCACGACCCACAACGAGCCACCGGGAUGGUGUGCACGAUCUAGACCACGACGUCGUUCGUGGCCUCCAUACCGGAAGGCCUAAUGUGUAUGGCAGGUAAUAUGAACCUUUUACGAGUAUUAUAUUGAUAUAUGUUUGGAUUCUUGAUAAAUGUUGAGAUGGUGGCAUGAUAAAUAAUAUGUAUGAGUUGAUAGUAAAUAGGAAAUCCAUAGAAAGGGUUGAACAAAAAACUUCCAAGCUUGGGAUAUCACCUACAUAAUCCCUAGACAAGGUGAGUAACAUCUAACUAACUUAUGAGAUUAUUAACACAUGAUACAUUUGCUUAUUAUGAAAUUAUGAAUGUUUAGAUACGAAUUAUGUGGUUUAUGUAUAAUAUAUAAAUGAUGUAUAAUGAGAAAUAGAUUGAGUAUGAGAAACACACAUGAUGAAUCUGUGAAAGAUGAAUGGAUCAAACUAUGUGUGAGAUCAUUUGGAUAGAGCCGACUUGUUGAGAUUUUGAUUAAUGGGUACAAUGGAUCUAUGAGAGAUAAAAUGAUCAUAUUAUAUGGAUGAGCUAUUCCAUGAGAUUAUUAAAAUGAGAAUAUGAGAAAGAUUGUUCCUUUUCUAAGGAAUAAUGAUCAAAAUGGCGAGUUGCUUAUCAUUUUGAUAUAAUUGAAUUAAUAAAAUAUGGUUAACGAGUAUCUCAUAUCUUGUUAGUAUAUGAUCAUAUGUUGAGUUUGUUAUAAUGGGAUUGAUUAUUACUCACUAAGCUUCCAAACUUAUCAACUUGGAUACUUUUAUUGUUACAGAUACAAGUAUGUCGGACAAGGGAAAGGGUGCGAUGUAGAAGCCAUAGUGUCUUUUGGUAAUCAAACUUUUAAGGAUGUAUUUUGAUAAGGCGUAAACCCGGCAUGAUCUAAUACUUUAUUUUGAUGUAUAUGAUAAUAACUUGUAUGAUAGGUUAAUAUAAUAUACACUCUCUAGUUUAGAAAAAAUCGAGUGUACUUUAUUUUAGUUGGGUGUUACAGAACAAGAUAGGUUGGAAGUAGUUAUGAAGACUCUUGAAGGUGAUGCUCUUUUGUGGUAUGAAUAAGAGAAUCAAAGGAGACCUAUAUGUGAUUGGGAUGAAUUAAAAGGGUUGAUACGUCAUGAUUAGAGAUCCUCACAGCAACCGCAAAGGUUUUCCAGGAAGAAAUACAAUUGGAGCUCUAAUGUAGCCUCAUGGAGAUGAUAGCUCCGUUAAACGACAGACAGGAAGAUGCGCUUCUAGAGUUUUGCAAAAAUGGGCUUAAAAAUUAGACAAAACCUGGGCAAUUAAUAGCACUGAGAUCUUGAUAAAAUCUCGGUUGGAUAGCGUUUCGCGGGUAGUGGCCAUAUAGUGGUUUCAAAUAGCGCUCAAAAUAGCGGGGCCACUAAUAUCUCUGAGAUCAGUCAACAUUGGCCGCUAUUUACCGCUAUUUCUACUCCGAGAACUCGGUUUUUGACCGCUAUUUCAUAAAAUCUAUUUUAGCUAUGCCGAUUGCUUUUUCUAUCUCUUUUUUCCUUCUUCUAUUGAUUAAUUUCAUAUAAGUAAACGAUUAACUUAUUUAUAAGAAAUAUUUAAUUGAUUGAUUUUACUUAAUUCAGUGAAUUGAUUGGAUUUAGAUUUUAGAACAGAGGAACUAUGUAUUUCUCUUCUAUUAAUUAAUUAAUGAAAUAUAUAUUACAUAAUAUUUAAAAACCACUAUCCCACCGCUAUCUCACCACGAGAACCGCUAUUUUAACUCAUGGCAACUGACCGUGAUUAGAUUUUGGACCUUGAUAACUGCAUAAGGAAGAACUUAGCACUUUGGGCUCACAUCAACCGGAUAGAAAACAAACUCGUUGAAAGGUAGCAAUUUAAACUCAAGCCAAUUAUAGCCAAGGAUGAAAGAACUUAAGCUCAAAUGGAUUGAUUGAAUCGACGACAUGCAAAUCAAUUCCACAAUCGACAUCCUUAACACCUUUUACCACCUACACAUCAGUCUUGUCGUUGCAAUUCUACUCAAUUAAAUGAUAGCAUAUGUUGACACAAUUUUUUUUUAUGUUCGUCGAAAAUUGAGAGACCUCACAUAAUGGUGGGAAAGUAUAAGCUACAAUACACUUAUUCUUCCUUAAUUCUUGGUACGUAUCUAUAAUCCUACUAGUUUGUUUUUAUUAGCUUUACCCUUUUCUAUGUAUGAUUCCGCUAUAUAAUAACAUAUAUUCACACAAGCUUAUUGUUUUUUUAUGUCAUAUGACUAUAUAUGUUUAUUAAUAUAUGUAAAGAAUUCUAUUAUUUAUCAAUAUAUACAACUAACACAAUUUAUAUAACCUAGCAAAAUUUUGUUGAGUACUUUUUUCAUCACAUCUAGUAAGAGAUAGCCACAAGUAUUUGCAUUUUAAGAUUAUUAGGCCAUGCUUCCCUUUGAUAUUUUAUUUGGAUAAUAUGAAUUGGUGAGGGUUCUCACUUCUCAAUGAUAUUUUCUUUUCACCUCAUCCUUACCUAAAUUAGAUCACAUGGAAGAGAAGGUUCUCAAUGAUAUUAAAGUAACUUGAAACUAUACCCCCCUUUACUGUAAGACCUAUUGACCAUGUUAUAUCUCAAUCAGAAGGGUAUUAUGGGGAAUAGAAAAAUUCGCUCAAACGUUUCAGGUGUCUUUUAAAACCAACAAAAUAUAAAGAUUAAAAUUAGGCCAUCAGACAUAGUUGCAUGGUUAGAGUUAAUGUGUUCGAAAAAUACAAUCUUUGUAUCAAGUAUAAAAUCAAUUAUAGAUGUAUUCAUUUAUAAGAGCUUAAAUUAUGAACUCCAAUCUCCUAAUAAUACACAUUCAUAAUCACAGAUUUGUUCUACUUUUAGUUCAAAUCAUUUUUAGAAAAUGAUCAUUAAAGGAUUUGAUUUCAAUGUCAUAAACAAAACAAAACCUCAUAAGAACAUGUUUCAAUUAGUGCUAUUUGUACAUUUCUCUCAUCCUAAUGAUAUACCACCAUGAGAACACAUCCUCUACGAAUCAUAAAAUACUCUUACAUAUAAUGACAAGUUAUCAAGAAUGAAGGAACAAAAGCCGAUUUUUUUUUUUUGGCAAAACUAGGGUCGAUUUAUAAACCAUUUGCAAAAGUAGGGCAUUUCAAAAUCUCUUUGUAAAAGUAGGGUCAAUUUAGUUGGCCCAUUGCAAAAAUCAAUUUUUUUUUAUAGAAUUUUCAUUUUCAACCUCUACAACUUAACUUUUCAACCCUUUGACUUCUAUGAUACUUUUUAUUUGUAUCUUAUACUUUAAAUAUUUAUGUUUAUUCUAAUGUUAUCUUAAACAUAGAUAAAUUUAUGUGUUAUUUCUACCAUAUUACCGGUACAAAAAAUUCAUUAAUAUAUUUCAAUUGAUAUCAAUAUCAAUUUCUAAGCAUAUAUUAAAGUGGUGUCAAUAUUUCAGUUGAUAUCAAUAUCAAUUUCUAAGCAUAUAUUAAAGUGGUGUCAAUAUAUAACUUUUUCUUCAGUCUUUUUAAAACUGUUCGUUCCAUUUCGUUCAGAUCAUUUUUAUGUAUAUUUUUAAAAACCCUUUUUUAUAUAAUGUUAUAGAAUUUGAAUGAAAAUACUUUUUAUAUAACUUAAUAUUUUUAAUCAUUUGUGUGAAAAAACUUAAUUAGUUAAUUUUUAUUAUGAAAAAUAUGUAAUGAAAAUAUAGCCCUUAGAUAUUAAAUAUAUUAGUUGUUGAGUUACUUAUNNUAUAAAUUAUUGAUAUAGAUAUGUUGUUUGAUGUAAAACAUUAUUUUUUUUAACUUUUAAAUUGUUAAUAUUUUUUGUUUAUCUAAACAUGAAGUUAAAUUCAAAAGCAUACAAUAAAAUUCUCAAUAUAAACAAUAAUAUAUCCAAAGACUAUUUUUAUAUAUGGUUAAAAAUAUAAAUAUAAUGUUAAAUAUACAACUAAAACUGAAAUGCCAAAUUAAAUAAAAUAUGACAAAAACAUAUUUUUUUAUUAUAUCUGAUUACAAAGAGUAUGUUUAUGGGGUGUUUGGCUUAGCUUUUUAGAUGCCAAAAGUCCUUUUAGAAAAAGAUAGAAAACAAAAGAUGUUUGUUAAAUGCAUUUUAAAAGCUAAUUUUAGAUUUGGAUACAAGUAAAAAUGAACUUUUUGAAAAAGUUAGGAAAACCUGAUUUUUUUUAACUUUAACACCCUUAUAUGGUUAAAAAUAUAAAUUCACCCUAGUUUUGUUAAAUAAAAAAAAAGUCACAAAACCCCCCAUGACGAAAAUUUUAUCAUAUCUAAUGCUAAUACAGAACUAUAGGAAGUGAUUAAUGAUUACCUAAGUGAGGGAUUUUCCAUGGGUUUAUGAACAAAUACGAAUGGAUGAGAUUUUUUGUACUUCUUGACAUCAGGUGCUUGUUGUCCACCACCUAUUUCAAGAGAACCAUGAAAUAAGGGAGUCCUAGAGGAACAUGAUUUCUUCCUGAUUCUUCUCCAAACCUUGCAAGAACCCUGCAACAAGGAAAAAGGUAUAAAUAAAUAAACGAAUAACUCUGAAAUUUAAUAAUUGUAUUCAAAAGGUAAUAAGAUAAAAUAACAAGAGAGUGACAAUAUAGCUAACCUAUCACCAAGAUGGAGAUUUCUUGAGCUUUUAGAGUCACAAGGUUGCAAAACAGGGGAGUCUUACAUUCUGGGAUCUUAAAGCUUGUGAACUCGUUGAUAUCAAGUUGGGCUUGUGGGGGAAUUAUUUGAAGUUGGGGAGGAGAGAUAUGGAUGAAGAUGAUGGAGAGAAUUGUUUCAUACAAAUAGAAUGGUUUGAGUGGGGUGGCAUUAAUGCCAAACUUUGACGAAAGUACCUUGGAAUGGUAUUUGAUGUUGGAUACAUUUCAUCUACAAAGUUAAUCUACAGCUGUGACUCAUAUGGCUCUACAAAU
rnacentral:lncRNA from 1 species